GCCCUUGUUCACCACUCAUCCUCCCUUCAUGGAGCAGAUCAUGGGGGAGCCAAUCCCUUGAUACUUCAAGAUGUUGUCGAUGGGGAUCUAUGAUGGUACACUGACCCCUACGACUAUUUGAAGAGCUUCAAGGUCCUUAUGAUGUGUUGGAUUUUGACACCUCAAAUUCAAUACUCAAAAGUUUAAGAUGGAGAAGCCCAC
rnacentral:lncRNA from 1 species